UACGAAGGGGGCUAGCGUUGUUCGGAAUUACUGGGCGUAAAGCGUAUGCAGGCGGAUCGUUAAGUCGGGGGUGAAAUCCCGAGGCUCAACCUCGGAACUGCCUUCGAUACUGGCGACCUUCGAGUCCGGGAGAGGUGAGUGGAACUCCGAGUGUAGAGGUGAAAUUCGUAGAUAUUCGGAAGAACACCAGUGGCGAAGGCGGGCUCACUGGCCCGGUACUGACGCUGAGAUACGAAAAGCGUGGGGAGCAAACAGGG
rnacentral:rRNA from 1 species